UAAUAAGCCGAUGUGUGUGUGUGUGCGCUGCCCCUCGGCCCGUCAACCUCCAUGAGAAAACGAGGCUUUUUUUUUAGUCGUCAAAGGGGGCCGUCUGCUACAUUCGUUAGCUUCGUUAGCUCGCAUGUGAUUAGAGCGAAAUGUCCCUACUAUUUAGCAUCAAGAGAAGGAAAGGGGUGAAUGCAGAGCAGGUGGAAUGCAAAUACAGGCCUUUUCACCCAGCCACGCUGAGAAUUGUCUCCAUACAAAGAAGCAUUGUCAGAAGUCCUGCCCUUAGUCCUUGACAAGCUCUCAUCCCGCCUGAUGGAACACGAGGUGUCUGUGUCGAGAUCUCGUUACGGGAGUUAUGAUCUAUUCAUAACAGCCUCCGCUCUGAUGUGCUUCUCAGGUAGAGUUCUGCUGGUGGUGACAGAAAAGUGGGCUGCUGCCUUUGAGCAGAAGUAACCAUAUAUUAAGCCCUGAGGGAGAUGCUCGAGUGUCGCCCCACCACAGAAGUAGAUACUGUAUUAAGAUACGUCUUCGAAGAGAAGAUUACUAAUCGCUCUUGGGUAUAGGUUCUUUAUUUACUGGGACUUCUUCCAUGUUCCAGGUGAAUUCAGACCAUAAUGACUUCAGUUGCUCUACAACAGGGAGUCUACGAACAUCAAACCUGUUUCAGUCACUUUUUUUUAGUCAUCUGACAGACGUCUGCAUAUAUCUUCCAAACGGCUCAUGCUUCAUUCAUGUAUAAUGUGUGUAGCUGUAACCCGAAGCAUCUUUUUUUAUUUCUUUUCACUUGUGUGUGUAACUACAUGACUGAGUGUUUGGCAGUGAUGUCAAAAGGCUUUUGAGUGAAACCGAUGUAUAUAACUAUAUGUGUUGCUUGCCAAGUUUUCCUAUAAAAGUUGGAUGAUAUGAUUGAAAUCAAUAUCACUAUGAUAAAAAAAGGUUAUUUUCCAGUA